rnacentral:rRNA from 1 species
UGGGGAAUUUUGGACAAUGGGCGAAAGCCUGAUCCAGCAAUGCCGCGUGUGUGAAGAAGGCCUUCGGGUUGUAAAGCACUUUUGUCCGGAAAGAAAUCCUUGGCUCUAAUACAGUCGGGGGAUGACGGUACCGGAAGAAUAAGCACCGGCUAACUACGUGCCAGCAGCCGCGGUAAUACGUAGGGUGCAAGCGUUAAUCGGAAUUACUGGGCGUAAAGCGUGCGCAGGCGGUUUGCUAAGACCGAUGUGAAAUCCCCGGGCUCAACCUGGGAACUGCAUUGGUGACUGGCAGGCUAGAGUAUGGCAGAGGGGGGUAGAAUUCCACGUGUAGCAGUGAAAUGCGUAGAGAUGUGGAGGAAUACCGAUGGCGAAGGCAGCCCCCUGGGCCAAUACUGACGCUCAUGCACGAAAGCGUGGGGAGCAAACAGGAUUAGAUACCCUGGUAGUCCACGCCCUAAAACGAUGUCAACUAGUUGUUGGGGAUUCAUUUCCUUAGUAACGUAGCUAACGCGUGAAGUUGACCGCCUGGGGAGUACGGCCG